CAUGUGUUUACCCUGACUGAGAACUGAAGGAUGUAUCAUGUGUUUACCCUGACUGAGAACUGAAGGAUUAUCAUGUGUUUACCCUGACUGAGAACUGAAGGAUGUAUCAUGUGUUUACCCUGACUGAGAACUGAAGGAUGUGUCAUGUGUUUACCCUGACUGAGAACUGAAGGAUGUGUCAUGUGUUUACCCUGACUGAGAACUGAAGGACUUAUCAUGUGUUUACCCUGACUGAGAACUGAAGGACUUAUCAUGUGUUUACCCUGACUGAGAACUGAAGGAUGUAUCAUGUGUUUACCCUGACUGAGAACUGAAGGACUUAUCAUGUGUUUACCCUGACUGAGAACUGAAGGACUUAUCAUGUGUUUACCCUGACUGAGGACUGAAGGAGAAAUGUUAUCAUCAAAGUAUAGUAUUUUCUGUGUGAUGGAGAGAACAUGAAUUUCCUUUUUUCUGAGUUGAGUUAUCUUGUUUUGGAGGAUGGGUGGGGGGUUGAGAUAGGUGUGUAUCCUCUAGCCAAUGAGUCUGACAGAAUUACUACACAUACUGUAGAUGUUGCUCUGUGUCUGUCCCAUGGAUGUUGACUGGAAUAAAUGGGUGCUUGUUUUUCCUGUAACAGUUCAGUCUUAGAAUGAAAAGGCUCCAUAGGGCUUCUUCGGCUGUUCUUCUACAUGAAACCCCCCCCCCCAAAAAAUACCCAGAAGGCUUCUGCACUGGGUUCUCCUACGGGGACAGCCAAAGAACCCUUCUGUAAUUCUAGAUUGCAACUUUUUUUUUUUUAUCUUUAAGAGUCUAGGAUCAUCGGCCUCCAUUCACAUUCCUGUAUAUAUUUUGCCGGCGUUUGAAAUCGGUUGCCAUUGUCGUCAAUAUCUCGUCGUUUUACGUGCCUGUUUCGUGCAUUCCCGGAAUAAGGAACAUUGUAAAAUCAUUAAAUAAAUCCUGACAGUGCCUUGUCAAAUAUUGUAUAGGCAUAGUGUUAAAGAAAAACAGAAUUAUAAUUUCAUCAGUAACACACCAGUGUGGGGGGUUGAUUUAGAAUGUUUCCCAAAUGGCACCCUAUUCCCUAUAUAGUGCCCUACUUUUGCCCAGAACUCUGUGGGGCCCUGUUCAGAAGUAGUGCCCUACGUAGGGAAAUAGGGUGCCACACUGGGACGUUGAUGUACUGUAUUUUCUGUCGGCCUUCCUCAUGUUGAAGAGACGUGCUGAACGCAGCUCGUACCUCUGCAUGUCUGCCAAAGAGGAGCACGUCGUAGUAUCGCCUCGCUGCUGUAGAUGCCUCUACCAUGUGUCUCUUAUCUUGUCAUUACACUAACAUUUGGUUGUUGUUGUUGUUUGUUUUUUUUGUAUAUUUAUACAGUUUUGAUACUUGAUGGCAUAUUCUCUUUGGCAAAUGUCUUUUGUUUUAUCAAUAUGUCAUAUCACAAUCUCACAUUUCUUAUUGACAACAAUGAAAAAAAAUUAUCUGGUCUAUAUUGAAACUUUUGUCUUGAAGUCAAAGACUUCAAACAAGUUUAGAAGGCAAUUCAGUGUACAAAUUGGUAACUAGUUUAGAAUCCAAUUCACUGUACAAAUCAGUAGCUAGUUUCGAAUGCAAUUCACUGUAUAAAGCAGAAGUUCUCCUAAUAUAAAUCAAAUUCAGAGCCAAUGUAGAUGUGUGUAUAUAUAUAUAUUCAAACCUUUCGUAAAGAGAUUAUAUUUUUAUGCAAUUAAAGCAUUUGUAAGUUAUUAAAUAUGUUGUGUACAUUUUCAUAUGUAAAUGUCAUGUAAGAUUUAAAAAACAAACAAAAAUGUUUUGUAUUUUUUCUUUAUUGCCAGUGUUAUAAAUCGUUAAUUUAUAUAUAAAAAAUGUCAACUAUAAA
ensembl:lncRNA